rnacentral:rRNA from 1 species
GUAGGGAAUAUUGCACAAUGGGCGAAAGCCUGAUGCAGCAACGCCGCGUGCGCGAUGAAGGCCUUCGGGUCGUAAAGCGCUUUUUGGGGAGAUGAGGAAGGACAGUAUCCCCAGAAUAAGAUUCGGCUAACUACGUGCCAGCAGCCGCGGUAACACGUAGGAAUCGAGCGUUAUCCGAAUUUACUGGGCGUAAAGCGCGUGCAGGCGGUUUGGUAAGUUGGAUGUGAAAGCUCCUGGCUCAACUGGGAGAGGCCGUUCAAAACUACCAGACUUGAGGACGGUAGAGGAAGGUGGAAUUCCCGGUGUAGUAGUGAAAUGCGUAGAUAUCGGGAGGAACACCAGUGGCGAAGGCGGCCUUCUGGACCGUUUCUGACGCUAAGACGCGAAAGCUAGGGGAGCGAACGGGAUUAGAUACCCUGGUAGUCC